AUUGAACGCUGGCGGCAGGCCUAACACAUGCAAGUCGAACGAGUGGCGGACGGGCGAGUAAUGUCUGGGAAACUGCCUGAUGGGGGGGGAUAACUACUGGAAACGGUAGCUAAUAACGCAUACCACCCGUUGUGCCCAGAUGGGAUUAGCUUGUUGGUGGGGUAACGGCGCACCAAGGCGACGAUCCCUAGCUGGUCUGAGCGGAGGACCAGCCACACUGGAACUGAGACACGGUCCAGACUCCUACGGGAGGCAGCAGUGGGGAAUAUUGCACAAUGGGCGCAAGCCUGAUGCAGCCAUGCCGCGUGUGUGAAGAAGGCCUUCGGAUUGUAAAGUACUUUCAGCGGGGAGGCGUUACCCGCAGAAGAAGCACCGGCUAACUCCGUGCCAGCAGCCGCGGUAAUAC
rnacentral:rRNA from 1 species